rnacentral:lncRNA from 1 species
AGAAACCAGAGUUGGUAAUGAAGGAAGAAAAGAGGGAGCUGAAAACCUUUACGAAAGUUUCUCUCAACUUUCUUCAAGCUAUAACCAAAAGAGAUAUGUGACCUUUUCCCUUGUCAGUCUUCCCAUUUCAGAUCCUUAUAUUAUUAUAUUGUCUAGUAGUUAUUUUUGCUUAUACUUAUCAUCAGCCAAGCCAUCUUUUCUUUGAAACACACACACACACAGAGACUUUGACUCAAGGGAGACAGUUGAGUUGUUAUUAUCUGUUUCAGUCAGAGUACAUAGUACAGUACAUCUGUUACAAAGGGUGAGAAAGGUGAUGUAGAAAGAAUAAGCUUGAAAUGAAUGGACUGAUAAUGGGGGAUGUAAGAUAACAAGAUGCCACAAUGCCAACACUGAAGAAAUCAAAUGUUCUCCCACAUAAUGGAAGUGCAGACUCCAUUCAUCAAGUGUGCGCCAUCUAAAGAAGCUUGAAGUACAAUUUCCUUGGAUGCAUAAAAAACCAUUUUCUCAAUGAAUGUGUCAGCUGUUGAUAGAAAUAUGAGUGAGUGAUAUUGAUUUGAGAGGCACUGACUUAAUUUGAAUCAAAAUUGCACAGUUCACUGCUGCAGGCUACAUUAGUGCAGCAUGGCCUAUUAUUAUAGAUUCCCCUAUGUAUAAAUAAAAUAUACUUCUCGAUUUAGUCCCAAAUGCUGAAGGUUUGUUGACAUCUGGUAGUUUUCAGAUCUCAAAUUUAAGUGGCAAAUCUGUGCAUAUCCUUGAGCCCCUGUGUUUUUUGUACUUAAAAGUAGCUGGUGUGUGUGUGCAGUAGCAGCUGUAAGUCCACUCUAUAACAGGAAUAGGGAACCUAUAGUUUUCCAAAUGCCAAACUGAAACACAGCUACACUUCAAAAUUCACACUUCUCCAAAUGUCAUUCUUCCAAAUGAUGGGAACAAAAUUGUGUAUAUUAGAAGUAAGUGUGCAUAAAAAACACAUGCACUAAUGAAAUUAACAUGCCACAAAUUCAUUAUAUUCUGGGGAAAACCCAUGAGAUAAGGGAAACACCAUAAAAUAUGUCACGAGUAUCAAAAAUGUACACUAAAAUGCUGGCAAAUUCUCACGACGGCUUUUUUUAAUUAAAAAAUUGCAGACUGAUGCAGAAAUGUGGAGAACUGGAAACUGGAAAAAUGAGAAGCUGAGCGAAAGUGAAAUGGAUAGAUUAACCCAUCCCUACCAUAAGCCCCUCUUCCACAGUCUGCCUGGUUUAAAUAUGCUAUUGCUGUCUCCUCCUUUUUUAGAUAGUGCCCUUUCAAUAAACUACGUCAAAGUUUGGAUCCAAGCUAAAGAUAUAUACACAUUUGAAUGAUACUGCAGUACAAGUCAAAGUGCAAGCAGAUAAAGAGGUACUGCUCCAGCAGGAAGGUAAACAGUGUUUCAAUGCGCUGCUCUGGUUUCGCCAGAAGCAGCUUAGUCAUGCUGGCCACAUGACCCGGAAAAACUGUCUGCGGACAAACGCCGGCUCCUUUGACCUAUAGAGUGAGAUGAGCGCACAACCCCAGAGUCAUUUGCGACUGGACCUAACGGUCAGGGGUCCCUUUACCUUUACCUUUUACAGUGCAAUUGUAAUGACCAUCCAUUUAGAGAAGGAAAAGAUAGAUUGGGCUGCAAGGAAGUGUUUGGAGUUUCUUAGCUGUGCACAACCUUGACAAUUGCUGUGCCUAUAAGGGGGUGCUCCAGUCAUGAUGCCUUAUUGAAUAAUGGCACUCUAUAUUUGGUUUCUGACAGGUGUGUGUGUGUGCAUGAAGGUGGGAGAGGAGUCUGCAACAUAAUGAAAACAAUAUUUUAUGGGAGUCUUUGCUUUUCUCCUCCAGCCUGAAGCUUGUCUUUAGCAGAGUCUUUGGCAAAACAGAUGGAUGCCCAGAACUGGUGCCAAAGCAUUUAUUAUGUAGCGAGAAACAAGCUCUCCUGCUGACUGCUCUCUUCUGCCGAGAAAUGUUGACCGUACGUGCUGAACACCGGGUGACAGGAACAGACUAUUUCAUGGCUGGGAAGGAAAUAUCAAUCUGGACUUGAGUGGAACAAAGUGGGAAGGCAGUGAUUGGAAAAGCUCAGUGGCUGGAAAAGUUGAAAGGGACAGACAGGGGGAAAUAAUACUAAUAAUCGGAAUACAAGAAGCCAGAAAGGCAAAAGAAAUGAGUGCCCAUUCUACAUUCUGCCAAAUAUCCAGGCUUCCACCCAAUGCAUGCAGGCAGGGGCUCUUACUUGGAAGAGAUCCAUAUUCAUUCAAGUAAUUGGUAAAGGUUCAGCAACAGACUGAUGACCCAGGAGUUGUGAUUCAGGAGUAGGGCAAGAAGUUCAGAACUGGAUGAACCCUCUUGUUCAGUGGAUGCUGCCCCCUGCUUCCUGGAGGAAGGCCUUUGCCAUCCUCUGCUGGGAAGGUCCAAAGGCAGGUCAUUGGAGAGAACCGUUAUCCAUUCUUCCCCCUCCAAAACAAUUAAAGCCUCCCUCUCUUCCAACUCAGGUUUCCACAGUUCAGCCACCACCUUCUUCCUCCUCCCUCUGCUAGAACUUGCUAACUCAAGCUUGAUCCUGACAGUACUGCGGGGCUCAUGGCAACCUGUAAGUGUGACAUCCUACAAGGCUAUUCAGACAAUUAUAGGAAGCAAGGAAGAGGAAAUGACAUGGGUAAGUAUAGGGAUGUUGUUAAGUGCCUCCUCCAUUUUUUUUCAGUGCAGUUGCAGGAUUUGUGCCUCUUGAAGCUGUAAGAGAUCUUCCCCCCAAAACCAAACAUGCAGGAAACCACAAACAAAACCUUUUGGAAUUUAUUUCCAAUGAUGAUGAUGAUGAUGUUAUUAUUAUU